GAUGAACGCUAGCGGCAGGCUUAAUACAUGCAAGUCGAGGGGUAGCAAGAUUGUAGCAAUACAAUUGUUGACGACCGGCAAACGGGUGCGGAACACGUACACAACCUUCCUACAAGUGGGGAAUAGCCCAGAGAAAUUUGGAUUAAUACCCCGUAACAUAGCGAUGUGGCAUCACAUUGCUAUUAUAGCUUCGGCGCUUGUUGAUGGGUGUGCGGCUGAUUAGAUAGUUGGCGGGGUAACGGCACACCAAGUCUACGAUCAGUAGCUGAUGUGAGAGCAUGAUCAGCCACACGGGCACUGAGACACGGGCCCGACUCGUACGGGAGGCAGCAGUAAGGAAUAUUGGACAAUGGACGCAAGUCUGAUCCAGCCAUGCCGCGUGAAGGAUUAAGGUCCUCUGGAUUGUAAACUUCUCUUAUAAGGGACGAAAAAAGGUCUUUCUAGAUCGUCUGACGGUACCUUAUGAAUAAGCACCGGCUAACUCCGUGCCAGCCGCCGCAGUAACAC
rnacentral:rRNA from 1 species